UUUAUUAAAAAGUUUGACAGAUAAAAGUAAUAAAAAUAAAAUUUGAAAUAAUUAAUUAAAAAUUAAAACAUUACAUUAUUUUUAUAUAUUAAAAUUAAAAAAUAUAUAAAUAACCGUGCCUCCCCAGUUAAAACUUAAUGGAAGCAACAGCAUUGAUUAGACAAGAGAAGAGCUGAGAUGGGGUGGAGAAAAUUGGGCAAUGAUCACUUUCUAAAGCAAAAACAAGAGAAGGUUGCCAUCUCCUAAUCAUGGCUUCUUGCUGCGACAGUUUCAAUACUCGAUCAUGCAGUGUCUUGAUGUAUACUCGAGGCACCGAAUCUGCAUCCUCUCCUCCGACGAAUUGAGCACUUCUGAAUGCCCUACAUGGUGCCGGUCGAAGAAGACUGGAUGCUAAUGUCAAGUCCUCCUUGGGGCUCAUUUGAUACAAAAUUUCACACUGGAACUCCUCCUUUAUGAUAACAGAGGUUGGAGGCUGAUCAAUUCCCAUACCAUAUUCAAAGACAUUUAUUUCCCCAUAUUCAGAUGGAUGAGGCUCUCCAUCUUCAUCAUCUUGAGGUGUACAGAAGCCAUACUUCAACAUGUUGGCUGAAAUGUAAAUGGCCAUCUGAAUUUUCUUGCCGAAUCUAUGUAUAGCGUCCGUCAAGCUUAAACCUCCUGCACUAUGCCCCACCAAGAUAACCUUGUGAUUCUCUGGCAAAUUGGACAAGAAGUCGAGAAGAGGCUUGUUAUAUUCAUGGAAGGUGAGGAUUGUGUUGGGAUCGCAGAGAUCGAUACCAGAACCUUUGAGGUCGAGACAUGUUACCUUGUAACCGGAGGUUUCCAAGAGGCACCUGAUCUUGUACCAGCACCAAGCUCCGUGACCUGCUCCAUGAAUCAAAACAAAAUGUGGAAGUGAACGUUUCUCCGCCAUUUUCUACCUCAAAUUUCACUAACUCUUUCUUCUUGCAGAUUAAUCUUCACACUAUAUUUUCUUGUCGUUCUCUUCUUCUGAG
rnacentral:misc_RNA from 1 species